rnacentral:lncRNA from 1 species
GGAAACUGUGGACAACAAUUAGGAGGAGGCUACUACACGGUUUAUAGGUUUUAAAUUUUUUUAUUUAGUCUUUAAUUAUUCAUAACAUGUAUUUAAUUAAUUGGAUCGUGAUUAUCAAUAUUAUCGGCUAAAAAUUCUCUUUCUGGGGUUAAAGUCAAGAACAUGAGUACUAUUGUUUUACAUUAAUUUUGAUUAUUUUUUCUUAUCAUAUUUGGUUAUUUGUUUAUUAUUAUUUUAAUUAUUUUAAGGAUUCGCGACCCUUAGAAUACAUAUAUUGUCGACCUUUUAAUCUCGAGAGAGGAAAUAGGGAGAUAGAACAUAUGUAUAAACAAAGUUUGGGUUUUUAUUCUUUUAUAAAAUAAACAAUUUAACUUAGCGUCUAGGCUAGGGAUGUACUUAGAUGCGUUACUUGAUUCAUACGUAGUAUGAUAUCUUUAAUUUACUUAAUUUGAUUAUUGCAUCCUCGCUUAAUGAUGUAGUUGUAAGGUCCAUAUUAGGUAAAAGAUUAGAGGUUGGGAAACCAUGAUCAUGAAAUUAACCUUACGAAUCAACAACUAAGAUAAGCAAGUUAGCGAAGGAAAUUCAAUAACAUAGUAUGAUUGUUUGAAGUGCUUUAACCCUGGGCUUUAAUCCAUUGAUUGUCCUAAGACUUUUAUUUUUAUGCAUUAUUUAUUUUAUUUUUAAUUUACAAAAUUACAAACUCUCUUUUUGGUUAAUUAUCUCAAUUAUUAAACUAGAAUUGGAUAGUCGGCGAGCGCAAGUCCCUGAGAGAUCGAUACUUAGACUUUCUUGAUCAAUUUUACUACUUGAUAAGACCACGUACACUUGCGUGUAUGCUUGGACGCUGUCAGAUAGGGUGAGAGGCGAUGCUGAGGAGUUGACUUUAUGGGAGACUUUCUCUAAUGCUUUUUUGGAUCACUUCUUUCCUCAGGAGUUAAGGAAAGUGAAGGCGGAGGAAUUUGACAAUCUGAGACAAGGAAAGAUGUAUGUCAAGGAAUAUGCCUUGAAAUUUCAUCAACUGUCAAGGUAUUCUCUAAAAUUGGUGUCUGAUAUGCGGGCAAGGAUGAGAAAUUUCACUUCUGGACUAUCUUGAGAUUCGUUUCUUGAAAGCAAGACUGCUUCACUGAUCAAGGAUAUGGAUAUUUCUAGGUUGGCAGUUCAUAUGGAGGAGGAAACAGAAAGAAGGCUGAGUAUGGGGAAAGACAGAGAAAGAAGUUAAAGUUUUAUAAACAGGGUGGUGCUCAACAGCAAGUUGGUUAGAUGGCGGUAAGUGGCUAAAGAAGAAGUGGGGGAGUUUUUGUUCUUUCUCUACAACUAGUGCUCCUAACAUAAAAAACUCAGGUGAUAGGCAUCAGAAGGGUGGUGAAUAUUUUUGAGCACAGGGUGACCAACUAAAAAAAGUGGAGUUCAGUCAGCCUCAUCAUUUCCUUCUUAUCGAUUCUAUGGUAGGUUACAUAGGGGCUUCUGUGAUAAAGGUAGGGAUAGGUAUUUCAAAUAUGGUCAGCUAGGCCAUAUGCUCAAAAGUUUUCUUGUUGAUAAGGGUGCUUCGGGAGUGAGUAAGGCUCUGGUUUCUUUAUUUUUUGCUCUUUUACCAAAGGGUAUUGCUUUUGCAUUAAUUUUUGCUUUUGGUACCGACAUAAGUCAGAAUAGGUUAUAUGCUCUUGCUACUCGGUAGGAAUCUGAGGCAUCACCUGAUCUCAUGACUGGAAUGUUACAACUCCUUUUUUGUGACAUUUAUUAUUUUCUUGAUCUAGGGUUCUCUCUCUCUUAUAUGACAUUUGUGGCUGUGUAUUUUGGUUUUAAUCCUGAGGUUAUUUCAGAUCACUUUUCUGUUCUACCUUAGUAGGUGACUCUGUGGUUGCUAAAAGAGUCUAUAGGGUAUGUGUGUUAUCUGUUGGUAUUAGGAAGACUCUGGUGGAUUUUUUUGAACUUGAUAUGGUGGAUUUUAAUGUUAUUUUGGGGAUGAAUUGGUUACACUCUUGUUAUGUGUCCUUAGAUUGUCGGACUUGUAUGGUUGUAUUUAGGUUCCCCGAUGGACUAGUUAUUGAGUUGGAGGGUGGUUCCCUAGCUCCUAGAGGGAUAUUUAUUUCUUAACUUAGAGCUCAGAGAUUGAUAUCCAAAAGAUGUCUCUAUCAUUUGGUCUGGGUUAAAGGUUCUAAUUUGGAAGGUUCUUCUUUACAUUUGGUUUUGAUGGUGAAUGAGUUUUCGGGAGGUCUUUUUGGAUGAUCUUUAUAGUGUUUCUCCAGUUAGGACGAUUGAGUUUGGAAUUGAUUUGGUUCCGAACACUCGUCCAAUAUCUAUUCCUCUUUAUAGAAUGGUUUCGGCUGAGUUAAGGGAACUCAUGGAGCAACUUAAGGAUUUCUUGAAUAAAGGUUUUAUCUGUCCUAGGGUAUCCCCGUGGGGUUUACUGGUGCUAUUCGUGCGAAAGAAGGAUGGUUCCCUUUGGAUGUGCAUUGACUAUCGAUAGUUGAAUAAGAUAACAGUUAAAAACAAGUAUCCUCUUCCAAGGAUAGAUGACUUGUAUGAUCAGUUGCAAGGUGAUAAAUUUUUUCUAAGAUAGAUCUUCGGUCUGGGUAUCAUCAGCUUAAGAUUAGGGAGGUAGAUAUCCCUAAGAUGACUUUUCAUACUCGGUUUGGGUACUUUGAGUUCCUGGUUAUGUCAUUUGGUUUGACUAAUGCUCUAGCGACCUUUAUGGAUUUGAUGAACAAGGGUUUCAGGUAGUUUCUAGAUCUUUUUGUCAUUGUGUUCAUUAAUGACAUUUUGGUUUAUUCUAUGAGUGAGGUGGAUCAUGCCAAUGACCUCCGUAUAGUAUUAUAGAUUUUGAAAGGGCAACAGUUGUAUGCCUAAUUCUCCUAAUGUAAGUUUUGGUUGAAUGUUGUGACUUUUCUCAGUCAUAUUAUUUCUAGUGAGGGCAUCAUGGUGGAUCCGUAAAAGGUGGUUGUGGUUAAAAAGUGGCCUAGAUCGAUGAAUCCAAUUGAUAUUUGGAGCUUCUUAGGUUUGGCUGGGUAUUAUAAGCAGUUCGUGGAAAGUUUCUCGAUGAUAGCUUCCUCAUUAACUAAUUUGACUCAGAAAAAGUUAAAAUUUUCUUGGUCGAAUGCUUUUGAGGAGAUUUUCGAGAAGCUUAAGGAUAAGCUAACUUCAACUUUGAUUUUGAUAUUGCCUAAAGGUAAUAAGGGGUUUAUGGUGUAUUGUGAUGUAUCUCAGGUGAGACUUGGUUGCAUUUUGAUGCAUCAUGGUAAGGUGAUUUCCUAUGCUUCUAGGCAGUUGAAGGUACAUGAGAGAAAUUAUCCUACUCAUAAUUUAGAGCUUUUAGCAGUGGUUUUUUCUUUGAAAAUCUGGCAGCAUUAUUUAUAUGGAGAGCACGUAGACAUCUUUUCUGAUCAUAAGUCUACAGUACAUGUUCACUCAGAAAGAGCUAAAUCUCAGGUUGAAUAAAUGGUUGGAGCUUCUCAAGGACUAUGGUAUAAGUCUUCAUUACCACCCAGGUAAAGCUAACGUGGUUGCUGAUGCUCUUAGUAGGUUGUCCAUGGGGAGUUUAGCUCAUGUGGAUAAGAAGAAGAGAGAAUUGGUGAAGGAUAUUCACCUCUUGGCUAAUCUUAGAGUUCAUCUCUUGGACUCCAAUGAUUGUGGUGUAAUGGUACAGGAAGUGGUUCGGUUGUCUCUUGGUUCAGAGAUUAAGUAAAAGCAAAUGCUAGAUCUUAUCUUGAUGAAAAUCAAGGAUGAUAUAGGUGGAUAAUGGGUGAUGCUGUUUGACAUCAGUGGCGAUGGUACUUUGUGAUAUCAAGGGAGGUUAUGUGUUCCUGACGUCGAUGGUUUGCGAUAAAGGAUUUUGGCUGAGGUGCAUGAGUUACGCUAUGUUGUUCAUCCCAGUUUGACUAAAAUGUUUAUGAUCUCAAGGAGAUGUAUUGGUGGAAUGGUAUGAAGAGGGAUGUGUCUGAUUUUGUGGUCAAAUGCAUGGUAUUCUAAUAAGUCAAAGUUGAACAAAUGAGGCUUGGAGGGUUGUAUCAGGAAAUUGAGUUGCCUGAAUAGAAAUAGGAAAUAAUCAAUAUGGAUUUCGUUACCAGUCUUCCUCGGUCUUGAAAUCAAUUUGAUUUGAUUUGGGUAAUCGUGGAUAGGACGACAAAGUCUGUUCACUUCUUGCCCGUGAGAACUAAUUUUUUAGCUGAGGACUAUGAGUAGUUAUAUCUUCAUGAGAUUGUAAAGCUUCAUUGGGUACCUAUUUCAAUUAUCUCUGAUCGUGGUACACAAUUUUCAAUUUACUUUUGGCAGUCAUUUUAGAAGAGGUUGGGUACUAAGAUUAGUCUAAGUGCUGCUUUCCACCCACAAACGGAUGGGCAAGCAGAGAGUACUAUUCAAACAUUGGAGGACAUGCUUCAUGCGUGUAUGAUUGAUUACGGUGGCAAUUGGGUUGAGCAUCUACCUUUGGUAGAGUUUUCUUACAACAGUAACUACCAUUCUAGCAUUAGGAUGUGCACUUUUGAGGUAUUGUAUAGUAGGAGGUGUAGAUCUCCUAUUGGGUGGUUUGAAUUUGGUGAGGCGGGUAUGUUUAGUUCAAAUUUGGUUUAUUAGGAUAUGGAGAAGGUAAAGGUAAUUCGAGAUAGACUUAAGGAUGCCAAAAGUCGUAAAAAUUCCUCUGUGGAUGUAAGGCAAAGAGUCUUUGAGUUUGAUGUUGGGGAUAAGGUAUUCUUGUAGGUAUCUCCCAUAAAGGAAGUGAUGAAGUUUGAUAAGAAGGGAAAGCUUAGUCCUCGAUAUGUUGGUCCUAUCUAAUUUUGCAGAGGGUUGAUAACGUGGUGUAUGAAUGGGAGUUGCCUUCUAGUUUCAGAUCCAUUCAUCUGGUAUUUCAUGUCUCUAUGUUGAGAUAGUGUCUUGGUGAUCCUUCUUUGAUUGUUUCUUUGGAUGAACUAGGAAUCUUGAAUUCUGUAUCUUAUGAAGAGGUCCCGAUUAAGAAAUUGGAUCAGUAGGUUCGUCGGUUAUGGACCAAGUAUGUUACCUUGGUUAAGUAACUAUGGUAGAACCACAAGGUGGAAGAGGCUACAUGGGAAGUGAAAGCGAACGUGAAUUCUUAAUAGCUGCAUUAGUUUUCUGCUCUGAAUAUUUUUGCGGAAGGUAUGUGUUCUUGAUCACAUCUUUGUUUUCUAACUUGGUUAAAGAUUGGAUUGAUCUUUGGUAAUGCAAAUAAAUUAUGCUUGUGUUUGACCUAACUUGUCCGUUAUUCGAGGACGAAUGAUCCUAGCGGGGGAGACUAAAACACCCUGGGUUUUGACCCUUAGAAAAUUUCUUAGAUUUCUAGUUUCUGAAUAUCAUAUGACUUAUGGGUACCCAUCGUAUGAUGGGGUACAGUUGGUAUAGUCUUGGUUGGAUGCUAACCAGUGUUAGUUGGUGGGUUGGGUGGGUUUCUGGAAUGAGUACGGCUUGGAGGGUACAAGUCGUAUGGUUGGAUACGGGUCGUAUGGUUUAGGUUUUUCCUUUACAUUAUUUGAGACUUGGUAACUUAAAUUGGAUCUGAGUACGAGUGGUUCACUAUGAGCCAUAAGCUAGUGUAUGAGUUGUACCAUUGAUUUGUAUGGUAGAUAGUGUUCAAACUUUCUUUGUUCUAUUCUGCCAGGGAUACAAAUUGGGGUACUAGUUAUAUGGUUGGGUACGAAUUGGGUUGGGUAAGUCGUAUAGUGGAUAGUGUUGGUUUAUAGGGGGAGGCCUAGGGUAUGAUUGGUGGGUACCACUUAUAUUGGAGGGUAUGACUGGCAUGGGUAGUUGUACCAUCUGACGGGAAUUUUAAGCAGUUUAAGUUGGGGGUAAUCUGGAUAUUUCCCAACUUAACCACUUAAGGACCCAUUACUUAUAUCUCUAUUGGGACAUUAUUUACCCUAUUAUUCUAAUCAUAAAUACUUAGAAAGUCUCUCUAAUUCUGUCUAAGGCUCUUGGGUAAAGGAAGGAUAGGGUUUCAUUUAUAGGAGUAACUUACAAAUUGUUUGGGUGAUUUCUCUCCAUCAUCUUCAUAAUCUAAGGCAUGUACACUUUCCUCAUUGUUAGUUCCAACUAUAGUCAUGUUUUAUACAAUGUUUUCAUGGUAUAAUUGUUGUAUGGUUUUGGGUUUUCAAAUAUAUGUUGGAGAUUUAGUAUUAAAUGCUUGGUUAUGAUUUUCCCAUGUUUUAAUUAUGUAAUUACAUGCUUUAAUGGUGGUUUGGACAAUUGGGUGCAUGGGAAUGGUAAAUUGGUAAUUGGAAUUGGUUUUGGAAACACUAUCCCCCCAACAUAUUUGAUAAAAUCCCUAUGAUAAUGCUUUUACUAUACAAUUGGACUUUUUAUGGAACUAUUGCAUGUUAUGGUUUGGUAAUGGAACCCUAAAUGGUAUAAAUGGUUUGGAAUCAUUAAAUGGUGAGGUUUGGUGAUCAUGGUUAUGGUUAAUUAAACUUCCUUGUGGGGUACAAGGAAAUCCCCCAAGUAAACAUGUUAAUGAACUUGUGGGGUACAUAGGAUUUCCCCAAGCAAACAUAAUAAUGGAACACUUGUGUGGUACGCAGGAAUCCCCUAAGUAAACUUGAUAAUGUUAUCUAUAGGUACAUGGGAAUUCCUUUACAUAAGAGGUUGGCUAGGACAUUGAUUUCAAGCUUUAGUCGGUAUGAAAAUGCCACUACUCAUAGCCUUGAUUAAUGAUAAUGGAAUAAUGUUUGGUUGGAUGGUAAUGGGUUUAAUUAGGAAAUAAUGGCAGGGUGUGACAGCUAACUGUGAAGGUAUGAGUCUAAUGGAAAACAUUGAAAACUCAUGUUUGUCGACAUGAGGGUUGGUCAUAGUGAUCAUAUAUAAUACUAUGAGGUAUAUGGGAAACCUCUAAGUACACUGUACAUAUAUAUCAUGGAGAGAGAAGGGUACUUGGGAAUCCUCUACUCUUAUGGUAUCUCUGAUUCAUGCGGCUACAUGCAUCAGGGCCUAUUCAGGGGGUUACAUUAGACCUACGUAGCCCAUGGGUGGUUUUAGGAUGGUUAAGCUACACAUACCCAGGUUAAUGGUUUUAAAGGCAUGCUAAACCUAUUUCCCUUUCCCGGCAUGAUUAUAUAUAUGUAUGGUUUGUAUGCAUAUGGUUGGUUUUCUUAGUUUUAUUGGAUGGCAUUAUUUUAUACUUAUCCUGAGUUUAUGAUAGUGUUCACCCACUAGCCCUUUUUUAGGCAGCUUUAUCCCCACGCGAUGUAGGAACCGACCAUUCUACUCCUCCUGCUUAGUAAUCAGAUUCGGGAAUAGCUAUCAGAUUGAAGUGGUGAGAUUCCAUAUUUUGGAAGGCUCUAUUUCAUAUCAUGGAUGUCUUUACAUACUUUGAUAAUUUUAUGGAUAUUGGUUUUGGCUGUGGUUGGGGGCAUGUCCCAAUCGGAUAAUGUUUUUCUUUUACUUAGAGGCUUGUGUGACUACUAUGGAUUGGAAUGGGCGGUGCCGGUAUGGGUGUCAGCCUUAGUAUAGACAUUUGUAUUAGGGCUGAUACUGUUUGAUUGAAUUUAUUAUUGUUCCAUCCUUUUAUAUUAUGUUACGAAUAGGAACUUGGUUUUUAUAUUGGUUUGGUUAUGGUUGUUGGGAACUAAUGGGUGGUUGGACUUAUUUAGGUUGGUCACGGUUAUAGGCCUAUCCCAGAGUCUUAGUUUAUGCUUACACACUAUCUUAUUAUACAUAUGGAAUCCAUCCGUCUCAAGGUACGCAUUUGGAUGGUUGGGUUGGGUAUCGGGCGUAGUCCCUAAUCCGGGUUGGAUUUGGGAUUCCCAUUACGACAAAGCCCCAGGCCGGGUUAUGUCAAGCUGGUAUCAGAGCUUUAGGUUCAUGGUCAAUUGGGUGUCCACAAGUCGUGUCUAGUAGAGUCUCUUUUAAGAGUAUGUAGCGCGCCACACUCAUAAGGGAGACGCUACAAGGCAUUUAGGAAUAUUUAACUUUCUUGGUAUUCCAUUUUUAAGAAUGGAGACUAAGUCCUGAUAUAUUCUUUAAUCCUGGUUUGUUCGCUUUUUAGAUCAUCCCUCUACAUGCAAAGUAACUCUACUGUCCUAACUGGGGACAAUAUUAAAGGGAUAUGAAAUACUCAGGGGAUCCAUACUCGGUCUAGGGGCCUAGUUUUUAAUAUUUCUAGAGUUCCAACGAUUGCUACUAGUCCUCCCAAGGAUGAGGUGACUAAUGCAAAAUUUAUCCAAUCGAUUCAUAUUAUUGCUCAGUUGGUUGCCGAUCAGGCUGAGCAGGGUGCAUCUAGUGUUUCAUUUGCUGAGGCCAUAAGGGUUUUUGAGUUUAUAAAGAUGAAUCCUCCUAACUUUACUGGUGUGAAGGUGGAGGAGGAUCCUCAGGGUUUCUUGGAUAUUAUGGAGAAAAUCUUUAGGUUGAUGUAGGCCACAGAUGUGGAGGGGUAAAUUUUGCUGCUUACUGAUGUGUGAGCAGAUGCUAACACAUUUGAGGAUUUUAACUAAGAAUAAAUGCAAAGUCUUAAGAAACUUUUAUUGUUUUUGAUUGUUUUAUCUUUGAUUUUGCAGUGGAAGUCAAGAUGUAAGAGAACCAACAAUGAUUGAUGUAAAAGAGUUGAAAUUUGAAGAAAAUAGAAGAAAAGUGUGGAUGACGACAUUCUUGAUAAGUCGUCAGCACUCUGAUAGGUUAUCAACUUCAUCGUCAGCCUUAAGCAGAGAAUGGGAUUCAGUUGGAAGAAGUGACGAC